UACAGAGGUGGCAAGCGUUGUUCGGAAUUACUGGGCGUAAAGGGCGAGUAGGUGGCCAUCUAAGUCAGACGUGAAAUCCCCCGGCUUAACCUGGGAACUGCGUCUGAUACUGGACGGCUUGAGUAUGGGAGAGGAACGUAGAAUUCCAGGUGUAGCGGUGAAAUGCGUAGAUAUCUGGAGGAACACCGGUGGCGAAGGCGGCAUCCUGGACCAAUAUUGACGCUGAGGAGCGAAAGCCAGGGGAGCAAACGGG
rnacentral:rRNA from 1 species